GUUGAGAACCACUGUCCUAAAGGUACCAGAUCCCAUCUAACCUUGGAAGCUAAACAGGGUCACCUCUGAUUAGUACUUGGAUGGGAGACUGCCAGUGAAGAGCUUGUGCUGAAGGCU
rnacentral:rRNA from 1 species